CCCACUGAUUGACGGUGAUUGCACCUGAUUGACGUUGGAUUACCAACGAGUGGCGGACGGGUGAGUAACACGUAGGCAACCUGCCCAGAAGCGGGGGACAACAUUUGGAAACAAGUGCUAAUACCGCAUAAAUCCUCAAACCGCAUGGUUUGAGGCUGAAAGAUGGUUUCGGCUAUCACUUCUGGAUGGGCCUGCGGCGCAUUAGCUUGUUGGUGGGGUAACGGCCUACCAAGGCUAUGAUGCGUAGCCAAGUUGAGAGACUGAUCGGCCACAAUGGAACUGAGACACGGUCCAUACUCCUACGGGAGGCAGCAGUAGGGAAUCUUCCACAAUGGGCGCAAGCCUGAUGGAGCAACACCGCGUGAGUGAAGAAGGGUUUCGGCUCGUAAAGCUCUGUUGUUGAAGAAGAACGUGCGUGAGAGUAACUGUUCACGCAGUGACGGUAUUCAACCAGAAAGUCACGGCUAACUACGUGCCAGCAGCCGCGGUAAUACGUAGGUGGCAAGCGUUAUCCGGAUUUAUUGGGCGUAAAGCGAGCGCAGGCGGUUUGCUAAGUCUGAUGUGAAAGCCUUCGGCUUAACCGGAGAAGUGCAUCGGAAACUGGCUAACUUGAGUGCAGAAGAGGACAGUGGAACUCCAUGUGUAGCGGUGGAAUGCGUAGAUAUAUGGAAGAACACCAGUGGCGAAGGCGGCUGUCUG
rnacentral:rRNA from 1 species